rnacentral:misc_RNA from 1 species
AAGUCGUAACAAGGUUUCCGUAGGUGAACCUGCGGAAGGAUCAUUAACCGUGUCUGUAUGUGGACAUGUGAUGUGGUGUAUGCGUGUUUUGGUCCACGUGGCCAUGUUUUUACAUUACCUUACCAUUAAUCUAAUCUCUUAUCAACCAGUAAAACUGGCAGCAAUGGAUCCCUCGGUUCUC